CUGUCAUCUGUAUCUGCACAUGACGAGACUGGCUGGACCGACAGACAGGUGGCUGGGGAGGUCAGUCGCUCUAUGGCCAGACAGAAGUCAGGGCUUGUUACUGAUAUGAUGAUUAGAAGUGACUGACAGAGAAGGAGACAGACAGACAGGAAGGCAGAUAGGUCCAUUGUUCCUCUGUGGAAAUUGAUCCCAGGGGACAUCCGACCGUGAUUCAGCACGUGACGGCUGAGGCCUCAAACAGCCUACAGAACCACAAUUGAGAUAAAAGACCAGAAGUAUUUGCUGUGAACGAUGGUGUGGCUUUCUUUCUUUCACUGAGCACUUUUAAUUAAGAAGAAGAAGGUACUUAUCGGAAGCCCGGCUUUGACUGAUGAAGGAGCAAAUGAAGUGAAUGUAAGGACAUAAGGAGAACACUGGAUGCUGUGAC